UACGAAGGGUGCAAGCGUUACUCGGAAUUACUGGGCGUAAAGCGUGCGUAGGUGGUUUGUUAAGUCUGAUGUGAAAGCCCUGGGCUCAACCUGGGAACUGCAUUGGAUACUGGCGAGCUCGAGCGAGGUAGGGGUCGUGGGAACUUCCGGUGGAGCGGUGAAAUGCGUUGAUAUCGGAAGGAACGCCGGUGGCGAAAGCGCACGACUGGACCUCUCCUGACGCUGAGGCGCGAAAGCCAGGGGAGCAAACGGG
rnacentral:rRNA from 1 species